CAUACUCACGGAGCCCCGGAACCCACUGUUACCCUUAGCAUUAGCCCUGUUUAUACUCUGACUCCACUAUAUACGACAGCCACCACCCACGCAGUGUUCUGUCUGCAAGCCUAAGAUCACCAUGAGCAAUGUCAAGCGUUGGCCGGAGUGGUGUAAAGCUCGCCGCCAUUGGACUCUGGAGUGAUGAUUCACACUUCACCAUCUGGCAGUCCGACUGACGAAUCUGGGUUUGGCGGAUGCCAGGAGAACGUUACCUGCCCCAAUGCAUAGUGCUAACUGUAAAGUUUGGUGGAGGAGGAGUAAUAGUCUGGGGCUGUUUUUCAUGGUUCGGGAUAGGCCCCUUAGUUCCAGUGAAGGGAAAUCUUAACGCUACACAAUACAAUGACAUUUUAAACAAUUCUGUGCUUCCAACUUUGUGGCAAUAGUUUCAGGAUGACAAUGCCCCUGUGCACAAAGCGAGGUCCAUACAGAAAUGGUUUGUCGAGAUCAGUGUGGAAGAACUUAACUGGCCUGCACAGAGCCCUGACCUCAACCCCAACAAACACCUUUGGAUGAAUUGGAACUCUGACUGCGAGCCAGGCCUAAUCGUCCAUCAGUGCCCGACCUCACUAAUGCUCGUGGCUGAAUGGAAGCAAGUCCCCGCAGAAAUGGUCCACCAACAUCUGGUGAAAAGCCUUCCCAGAAGAGUGGAGGCUGUUAUAGCAGCAAAGGGGGACCAACUCCAUAUGAAUGGCCAUGAUUUUGUAAUGAGAUGUUUGACGAGCAGGUGUCCAUACUUUUAUACACAAAAUGCCAUGUAAUGUUAAUAUUCAGAAAUAUUCAACUCCUUGAGUCAAUACAUGUUAGAAUCACCUGUGGCAGUGAUUGCUGCUGUGAGUCUUUCUGGGUAAGUCUCAGAGAUUUGUACAAACUUUGCCCACUAUUUAUUUUUGUAUUCUUCAAGCUCUGUCAAGUUGGUUGUUGAUCAUUGCUAGACAGCCAUUUGCAAGUCUUGCCAUAGAUUUCCAAGCUGAUUUAAGUCAAAACCGUAACUAGGCCACCCAGUGUAUACUCGGCCUUGUGUUUUAGGCAACUGUCCUGCUGAAAGGUGAAUUCGUCUCCCAGUGUCUGUUGGAAAGCAGACUGAAACAGGUUACUGUCCUGCUGAAAGGUGAAUUCGUCUCCCAGUGUCUGUUGGAAAGCAGACUGAACCAGGUUAUUGUCCUGCUGAAAGGUGAAUUCGUCUCCCAGUGUCUGUUGGAAAGCAGACUGAAACAGGUUACUGUCCUGCUGAAAGGUGAAUUCGUCUCCCAGUGUCUGUUGGAAAGCAGACUGAAACAGGUUACUGUCCUGCUGAAAGGUGAAUUCGUCUCCCAGUGUCUGUUGGAAAGCAGACUGAACCAGGUUAUUGUCCUGCUGAAAGGUGAAUUCGUCUCCCAGUGUCUGUUGGAAAGCAGACUGAAACAGGUUAUUGUCCUGCUGAAAGGUGAAUUCGUCUCCCAGUGUCUGGUGGAAAGCAGACUGAAACAGGUUAUUGUCCUGCUGAAAGGUGAAUUCGUCUCCCAGUGUCUGGUGGAAAGCAGACUGAAACAGGUUAUUGUCCUGCUGAAAGGUGAAUUCGUCUCCCAGUGUCUGUUGGAAAGCAGACUGAAACAGGUUACUGUCCUGCUGAAAGGUGAAUUCGUCUCCCAGUGUCUGUUGGAAAGCAGACUGAAACAGGUUUUCCUCUAGGAUUUUGCCUGUGCUUAAUUCUAUUCCGUUUCCUAUUAUCCCCCCAAAAAACUAUUGUGGUCCUUAGUCGAUGACAAGCAUACCCAUAACAUGACACAGCCACCACCAUGCUUGAAAAUAGGUGGUACUUAGUGAAGUGUUUUGUUGUAUUCAGGACAAAAGUUAAUUUCUUUGCCAUAUCUGAUGCAGUAUUACUUUAACUGUUUGAAGAUCACCAUUGGUGUCAUGGUAAAAUCCCUGAGCGUUUUCAUUUACAUUUAAGUCAUUUAGCAGACGCUCUUAUCCAGAGCGACUUACAAAUUGGUGCAUUCACCUUAUGACAUCCAGUGGAACAGCCACUUUACAAUAGUGCAUCUAAAUCUUUUAAGGGGGGAGAAGGAUUACUUUAUCCUAUCCUAGGUAUUCCUUAAAGAGGUGGGGUUUCAGGUGUCUCCGGAAGGUGGUGAUUGACUCCGCUGUCCUGGCGUCGUGAGGGAGUUUGUUCCACCAUUGGGGGGCCAGAGCAGCGAACAGUUUUGACUGGGCUGAGCGGGAACUGUUUUCCUUCCUCUCCGGCAACUGAGUUAGGAAGGGCGCCUGUAUCUUUGUAGUGACUGGGUGUAUUGAUACACCAUCCAAAGUGUAAUUUAUAAUUUCACCAUGUUCAGAGGGAUAUUCAAUGUCAUCUUUGAAUAACAAAUAUCUACCAAUAUGUGUCCUUAUUCGCAAGGCAUUGGAAAACCGCCCUGGUCUUUGUGGUUGAAUCUGUGCUCGAAAUGUACUGCUCGACUGAGAUACUACAGAUAAGUGUACGUGUGGGGUACAGAGAUGAUGCAGUCAUUUCAAAAUCAACACUAUUGUUGCACACAGAGCGAGUCCAUGCAACUUAUUAUGUGACUUGUUAAGCAACUGUUUACUUCUAAACUUAUUUCCCUUUAUAACAAAAAGGGUUGAAGACUUACUGACAUUUCAGCUUUUCGUGUCUGUAGACCAGUGACACAAAAUCUCAAUUUAAAUCCAUUUUAAAUUCAAGCUGUAACACAACAAAAUGUGGGGAAAAGGUCAAGAGGUGCGAAUACUUUCUGAUGGUGCUGUACAUCAAAGCUGUGACCGAGAGACUGAAACACAGCUUCCAUAGCCGGCCUCUGACCGGUACCCUGUUAAACAUCACUAGCCGGCCUCUGACCGGUACCCUGUUAAACAUCACUAGCCGGCCUCUGACCGGUACCCUGUUAAACAUCACUAGCCGGCCUCUGACCGGUACCCUGUUAAACAUCACUAGCCGGCCUCUGACCGGUACCCUGUUAAACAUCACUAGCCGGCCUCUGACCGGUACCCUGUUAAACAUCACUA